UGGCUCAGGACGAACGCUGGCGGCGUGCUUAAUACAUGCAAGUUGAGCGAUGAAGAUUGGUGCUUGCACCAAUUUGAAGAGCAGCGAACGGGUGAGUAACGCGUGGGGAAUCUGCCUUUGAGCGGGGGACAACAUUUGGAAACGAAUGCUAAUACCGCAUAAUAACUUUAAACAUAAGUUUUAAGUUUGAAAGAUGCAAUUGCAUCACUCAAAGAUGAUCCCGCGUUGUAUUAGCUAGUUGGUGAGGUAAAGGCUCACCAAGGCGAUGAUACAUAGCCGACCUGAGAGGGUGAUCGGCCACAUUGGGACUGAGACACGGCCCAAACUCCUACGGGAGGCAGCAGUAGGGAAUCUUCGGCAAUGGACGAAAGUCUGACCGAGCAACGCCGCGUGAGUGAAGAAGGUUUUCGGAUCGUAAAACUCUGUUGGUAGAGAAGAACGUUGGUGAGAGUGGAAAGCUCAUCAAGUGACGGUAACUACCCAGAAAGGGACGGCUAACUACGUGCCAGCAGCCGCGGUAAUACGUAGGUCCCGAGCGUUGUCCGGAUUUAUUGGGCGUAAAGCGAGCGCAGGUGGUUUAUUAAGUCUGGUGUAAAAGGCAGUGGCUCAACCAUUGUAUGCAUUGGAAACUGGUAGACUUGAGUGCAGGAGAGGAGAGUGGAAUUCCAUGUGUAGCGGUGAAAUGCGUAGAUAUAUGGAGGAACACCGGUGGCGAAAGCGGCUCUCUGGCCUGUAACUGACACUGAGGCUCGAAA
rnacentral:rRNA from 1 species